AUUCCAGCUCCAAUAGUGUAUAUUAAAGUUGUUGCAGUUAAAAAGCUCGUAGUUGGAUUUCUGGCGGGAGCGAUCGGUCCUUCACUCAGUGUUGGAACCUGAUUGUCUCCUGCCAUCCAUGGAGAAAACUUAUCUGGCAUUAAGUUGUCGGGUAGGCAAUCUCCAUCUUUUACUGUGAAAAAAUUAGAGUGUUCAAAGCAGGCUUAUGCCGUUGAAUAUAUUAGCAUGGAAUAAUAAGAUAGGACUAUGGUACUAUUUUGUUGGUUUGCGUUACGAAGUAAUGAUUAAUAGGGACAGUUGGGGGUAUUCGUAUUUCGUUGUCAGAGGUGAAAUUCUUGGAUUUCCGAAAGACGAACUACUGCGAAAGCAUUUACCAAGGAUGUUUUCAUUA
rnacentral:rRNA from 1 species